ensembl:lncRNA
UUUUUUUUUUUUUUUUUUUUUUUUUUUUUUUGAGUUGUGCCAAUUUCUGCUAUACAGCGAAGUGACUCAGUCAUACAUAUAUAUACAUUCUUUUUUUAAUAUAUAUUAUUUUCCAUAAUGGUCUGUCCUAGGAGAUUGGACAGAAGUUCCCUGUGCUGUACAGUAAGACCUCAUUGCCCAUCCAUUCUAAAUAUAAUAGUUUGCAUCUACUAACCCCAAACUCUCAGUCCAUCCUGCUCCCUCCCCUCUCCCCCUUGGCAUCUACAGGUCUGUUCUCUAUGUCUGUGAGGCUGUCUAUUCUGCAGGUAGGAUCAUUUGUACCAUAUUUUAUUUAGUUUUCACCUAUAAGCGUUAUCAUACAAUAUUUGUCCUCUUUCUGACUUACUUCACUUUAUGAUGAUGUCUAGUUACAUUCUUUAAGUUUCUUAUGCACUGAUUACAAGUUUUUAUGAAAAAAUAGAGUGAGUUCUUCUUGUGGUUUCCCUGAGGGACUAUGAUUCCAGUGUUCCCAUAUAGUUUGAUUUUUCAAAACAAGGUGUUUUUUUAAUUGCAGAGGAUAACGAAAUACAUCCUGGCUAGGUGUAGCCUGCGAGUUUCAAGGGUGCAGUCCCUGGAAAGCUGCCUCAUACGGGCUUGGUUCUCAGCCAGUGAACACUGAGCUCACUGAGUGAAAAAGCCUGAGCUAAGCUGCUGGAGGAGAGGGCAUCUGAAGCAGAAACAUCAAGUUCCAGCAGAGAUCUCUCCAGAACAAUCAACCCACCAACGAUCAGGUAUUUGGAAAAGGUGAUCUUAGAUCAUUUAGUCCAAAUGAGCUGGCCCAGAACAGAAGAACCACCCAGCUGACACAGAAUUAUAAGAAAUAACAAACAUUUUUUGUUUUAACUAUCUAAGUGUUGGGAGAAUUCGAUUUGCAGCAAAAACUAACAUGCAUUUUCCCUACCCUUACAUCUACCCUCACCGUCCUGUCAUGAUUAGAGAAAACUGCACGUUUCAAAUUGGAACUAUUAGAAACUAGUGGUGUCACAUCUCAGUUGCAUCUUGGACCCCUGACAGUCCUCUUACUUGUCAGCUCCCCUUCCUCUUCCUCUCAGUGUGUGAUGAUGCCAGUCCCUCACCAUGUUUCUCCUGUCCCCAACUCAGCUGACCCCCUAUCACUUGUAGAAAAUGGCCUUGUUGCCUGCUUCAGAUAAUGUGGGGCUUGCAGCCGACACUACAGAUUCUGGGUGUUUGGGGAGUAGGAUGAGAAGCCACUACCACACUGAGUGCUCCACACAGCAGAGGAGGGACCCUGGCUGCUGUGUGGAGCACUCAGUGUGAUAGAGCAAGUGCAGAAUCAAGAAGUUAAAUGGGAUGGUGGUAGCUCAGUGUAGGGAGACAGAGGAGGAAGUGCCUAGGGUGGAGAGCACUGGAAACAGGACACAGUUAGUGGAGACUAAGAUGCAGAUGACAUCCUCUGCACGCGUGAAGUGCAGUUGCCCUGGUGGAAGGACAUAGUGAAGAUUCUGGCUAUAUUUUGAAGAUUAGAGUCAAAAGAAUUUGCUGAUAAUUGAUGUGGGGAGAAAAAGAGGAAUCAAGCUUAACCACAUUUUACUAUAAGGAUUUUUUCGGUAAUUCGUGCUUACCUCCCCCACCCCUUUCUGGGAAGAAGGCAGAGACUAUCCUAAAUCUCCCUUUUUAUAUACUGGUUUUUGUUUCUGUCUUAUUUUAUAGCCACACCUGUGGCAUGUGGAAGCUCCCAGGCCAGGGAUCGAAUCCGAGCAACAGCUUCGACCUAUGUCCUUUAGCCAAAUGAGCCAGGCCAGGGAUCAAACCCAUACCUCCACAGCAACCCGAGCUGCCGCAGUCAGAUUCUUAACCCACUGCACCAUGGUGAGAAGUCCUUUUGUAUAAUAGUCCUGAAUGAACAAAUGAAUGAUCCUGGGCCUCACUCAGUGGGUUAAGGAUCCAGCAUUGCUGUGAGCUGGGGCGUAGGUCACAGCCUCGGGUUAGAUCUACAUUGCUGUGACUAUCGUGUAGGCCAGCAGCUGUAGCUCUCUUUCGAUCCCUAGCUUGGGAACUUCCAUAUCCCAUGGGUGCAGCCCUAAAAAGACCAAAAACAAAAGUGAGCAUAGCAUAAAGAACUCUCAUUGUAGAAGUGUUCCGGAUGGUAUUAUGAAAAUGUUCUCUAUUUCUUCCCAAAGCACGGUGAUCAGAACAGUACAUGUCAACAAACCAUGAUAAGAUGGCCAUGAGAUAAGGAGCUUUUGACAGAAUGAAAUAGUUUAUGUCACUGAACAAACUGUUGAGUACAGUUGACUAUUUUUUUUUUCAUAGUAAAACUUUGUUGAGGAAGUAGUAUGCUGAUUUGCAUUCUGUCUUAAGCUCUUAUCUUUUUGCCAAUUGUCACCUUUCUUGCACUGUGGCAAAGGGUCAGCUGGAUUCCCUGAAUUAAGUAGAAUAUUUUAUUAGACAUUAAAAGUCUGGAAAUUUUCUUAAGGCACCAAGAGGUUCUUCAGAGUUAUGUAAGGGAGGUGAUGUAUUUGCAAUUGGGAAGAUAGUUUUUUCUGAAAGGACUUUAAAAAGUUUAAAGGCUGUGGGAGUUCCCUGGUAGCAGGUUAAGGCUUCACAUUUGUCACUGCAGCAGCUCGGGUCACCACUGUGGCGCAGGUUUGAUCCCUAUCCUGGGAACUUCCACAUGCCAUGGGCAUGGCCAAAACAGUUUAAAGGCUACAAGACAUAGCAGAAAAAACAGGAUUUUGAAGUCAGACCUGGUUUCAAAUCAUUGCUCUAUCACCUGCUAUGUGACUUUAGAUUGUCUUUGUUGUCUUGCUGGUAAGUGGGAAUAAUACCUACCUCCAAGAGUUAUUGUAAAGUUUAAAUGAUGAAAUAUAUAUUAGAAGCCCAGCACAGGGAUUAGCACCUCGUAGGCACUCAGUAACUGUUAACUCUCCUUUUCUCUCUCCCUGUAAAAUAAAUAUCAGACUUACCAUCCAGCUUUUUCUCCACACUUUUGCCCACCACGCUUUAUGUCUACACCUCUCUAUCCUCAACCUUGUUAGAUGUUGCUCUUAAUGGAGUUGUUUCCCGGCCUGACUCAGCCUGUGUGGUUUGUUGUGGCCAAUAGGAAGAAGGAACUUGUCCAGGAAGCAAAACAAGAGAAUUGGGAAGGAAAGCUGAGAUCAGAUCUAUAUACGAUGAUAUUAGUGUCAUUACAGAGUAUAGGAGUACACCCAGCAAGAUUCUUUAUUACCUUGCUGUCACUAAGAAUAGUACACAUCCGAGGCACACUCAACAUUUUUUUUUUUUUUUUUUUUUUUUUUUUUUUUUUGCUACCCAGACAGCCAUUGCUGCUGGUUUUAGGGGGAAAUUGAAACUACUUCCUUACAUAGUAAGAGUAUAAAUAGUGGCACUUCUCUGGUGGACAACAUUUCACUAAGUGAGCAUCUAAGCUAGAACUUAGUAUUAUCACUAUUUGGUAUCAUGUAGAUCUGGGUUCAGUCUCGCCUUAUCACAUAGUGGCCUGACUUGAGAAAAGUUUUUAAUCUUUCUGAACUUGUCCUCACCUUAUUCUGUUAGUUGGAAUUUGAGUUCAAGGCCACCAUCUUGCACGACUCCAAGGGAGUGCCACCCACAUCAACUGCACAGGGUAUUAAGCAACAACUUGAUUCAGAAACCAUAACAAGACUUUAAUAAUAGUGGCAUAAAUAAGGUAGAAUUAUUUCUUAUUCAUGUGGCAUUCCAGGUACACACAGUCCAGGGCUGAAGCCUAGUCUCCAUACUAGGGCCUGAGAGGUUUCAUCUCUCUUGCUGUUCUGCAUCCAUAAUGUGUUGGUCUGGACCACGUGGCCCAAGAUGCAAAGCUAACAUUUAAUCCAGCAGAGAGAGGGGAAAGCCAAGAGGAAGUGUGUUCCUUUCUGUGCAGAAUUCC